rnacentral:rRNA from 1 species
CAGCAGCCACGGUAAUACGAAGGGGGCCAGCGUUGCUCGGAAUGACUGGGCGUAAAGGGCGCGUAGGCGGAUUGUUUAGUUAGGCGUGAAAUUCCUGGGCUUAACCUGGGGACUGCGCUUAAUACAGGCAGUCUAGAGUGAGGAAGAGGGUUGUGGAAUUCCCAGUGUAGAGGUGAAAUUCGUAGAUAUUGGGAAGAACACCGGUGGCGAAGGCGGCAACCUGGUCCUUGACUGACGCUGAGGCGCGAAAGCGUGGGGAGCAAACAGGAUUAGAUACCCGUGUAGUCCCUGUCUCUUAUAC